CGGUUGAUCCUGCCGGAGGUUACUGCUAUCGGGGUUCGAUUAAGCCAUGCAAGUUAAAUGUUUUUCGUAAACAUAGCGAACUGCUCAGUAACACGUGGAUAACUUAACCUUAGGUCCGGCAUAACCCCGGGAAACUGGGGAUAAUUCCGGAUGUAUCAAGGAUGCUGGAAUGCCCUUUGGUUCAAAGCUUUUGUGCCUAAGGAUAGGUCUGCGGUCUAUCAGGUAGUAGUGGGUGUAACGUACCUACUAGCCGACGACGGAUACGGGUUGUGAGAGCAAGAGCCCGGAGAUGGAUUCUGAGACACGAAUCCAGGCCCUACGGGGUGCAGCAGGCGCGAACACUUUACAAUGCGGGAAACCGCGAUAAGGGAACCCCGAGUGCCAGUACUAAGUGCUGGCUGUCUAGAUGAAUAGAUAUCAUUUAAUAGCAAGGGCCGGGCAAGACCGGUGCCAGCCGCCGCGGUAACACCGGCGGCCCGAGUGGUAACCGAUAUUAUUGGGUCUAAAGGGUCCGUAGCCUGUUUAAUAAGUCCUUUGGGAAAUCUGGCAGCUUAACUGUCAGGCUGCUAAAGGAUACUGUUAAACUUGGGACCGGUAGACGUAGGGGGUACUCCAGGGGUAGGAGUGAAAUCUUGUAAUCCCUGGGGGACCAUCUGUGGCGAAGGCGCCCUACGAGAACGGGUCCGACGGUGAGGGACGAAAGCUAGGGGAGCAAACCGGAUUAGAUACCCGGGUAGUCCUAGCUGUAAACGAUGCUCGCUAGGUGUC
rnacentral:rRNA from 1 species